UAGGGAAUCUUCCGCAAUGGACGAAAGUCUGACGGAGCAACGCCGCGUGAGUGAUGAAGGUCUUCGGAUCGUAAAGCUCUGUUGCCAGGGAAGAAUAGGUAUAGGAGUAACUGCCUGUACUGUGACGGUACCUGAGAAGAAAGCCCCGGCUAACUACGUGCCAGCAGCCGCGGUAAUACGUAGGGGGCAAGCGUUGUCCGGAAUUAUUGGGCGUAAAGGGCACGCAGGCGGUGGUUUAAGUUUGGUGUUUAAUCCCGAGGCUCAACCCCGGUACGCACUGAAAACUGGAUCACUUGAGUACAGAAGAGGAGAGUGGAAUUCCACGUGUAGCGGUGAAAUGCGUAGAUAUGUGGAGGAACACCAGUGGCGAAGGCGACUCUCUGGUCUGUCACUGACGCUGAGGUGCGAAAGCGUGGGUAGCAAACAGG
rnacentral:rRNA from 1 species